AUGACCAGCAAAGCCAAAACCUCAGGAAAGUGUAAGAUCUGGAGCUUGUUAACUGGAAAGCAGUCAUGUCAUGUCUCUUCUCUCAAGUGGAGUACACAAAAGCCAUGUGCCCUGAGUCAAGGAAUGGCCCUGACACAUACAGGAAGGAGGGGCAAGGAGCCAGUGUGGAUGUACAAGAUUCUGUGCCCAGCCAACCAGUUGGGGGAAGAUGGUUUCUCUUCAGCUCUAAGCCUCAGUCUCUGUGUCUGUAAACCCAAGUCCCUGAGACCACUAAGCCACCUUCCAGGGCUCAGAAGAAUUGAUGUGCCUUAUUCCUUGCAACCCAGAGAGCAUCCAUGAUGGCUACUGCAGACAUCAGGGCCCAGACUUUUGUCUACUCUGAGCAAGUGUUCUAGCUGUGGAAGAAUCUGUGCCGAGACUCUGAGUGCACACACCUUCCAAGCAUUAGUCACAGUAGGCCCAGAAGGGACGCAGGAACCAGAGAGGAAAAGGUGGUUCUAGUGCCAUAGGCAGGCCCAACAUCACGCCCUAUGGAGAACAGCAUAGCACAGCAACUAUCUUCAAUAACACUGAGCUGGAAGAUCCCCACCUGGGCUGACCUGUAUUGUCAUCCCUUAGCCCACUCUACCCAUCCCUAACUACAUAGGAUGGUCCCUCUGAUCCUCUACCCUUCUGAGGCUCAGUAAAUGAGCAAGAGAACAGCUUCCAACAAACCUGCCAGCAAAAAUGCAUGCGCCUUACCCAGUGUAUCACAGUCAAGUCAUCUCUUUAAUGGUUCCUCUCUCUACAGGAAGACUUAGGGCAUAAAAGCGACUUUGUCCACCAACAGUGCCCAAACCCAGUAGUGAGUGGUUUACGUGUUUUCAAGAACUAAUUUCUCACUCAUAGUGCCUAUAGUCUGGUCACCACAGGUUAGAUGUCUCAGAACCUGUGUUAUAUUGUUUUAUUUUUAUAUCCUGCUUCCUAGACUUCCUACUCCAUAGCUGCUUUGAACUUUAUGGCUACUCCUGUCUGUUCAGUUUUAUAAGACUGAAAUUAGGAGCCUGCAUACCAUAUCUCUGUUUUGCCAGCUAGCACUGUGUUCAGCUGUGCCAACAAGGACUAGAGGGUGGCCACACAGCUGAGGGAAGAAGCAGACCCCUUCUAGUUGUUGACUUCCUUUGCUGUAGAUAUCGUGCUCACAAUGCUUCCUCACCUCUGCACUGGGAGCUCAUUCCAUACCCAAAGCCAAAUCCAGCUUAGAUCUGCAGUAUUACAUCACCUGGUGCGGGGAGCUCAUUCCCAUACCCAAAGCCAAAUCCAGCUUAGACCUGCUGUAUUACAUCACCUGCACCACGCUUCUUGGGAGUCCAGACCCGGGUACUUUUUGAGCCCGGGGAUGAUGGGGGAAGUACUUCUGUGUAUGUUUAUCUUAUUGAUUGUUAAAUAAAAUACUGUUUGGCCAAUGAGACAGCAAGUUAGAUGGGACUAGGAGUCAAAGAGGAUUCUGGGAAAUGUAGUAGAGAAGUGGUGAUCCAGGCAGGAAGUGACAUAGCAAGGAGACUCAUAUUUAAGCAAAGGAAACAGGAAGGGUUCCCUUUUUCCCCUUCCUCCUCCAGUGGCACCAUGUGAGCCACUGGCAAGAGAGGGUGCCAGUGAAAGGCAUCCUCUAUAAGAUAAUAAUAUUUAUCUAUAAUAAUAAAAUAUAUAUGUUUAUAAUAAUUAAGACUGAGCUAACAGAUGAGGAAUCC
ensembl:lincRNA